rnacentral:tRNA from 1 species
GUGUGGUGGACGAGGAGGACGCGUACGCCGGCCCCGAGCCGGCGCCGGGCGGCGCGUACGGCGAGCUGUCCGAUCGUUCCGUCGCCGUACACCA